AAAAUUGUAUGCUCAAUAUCCCAUAACUGCGACAAAUAGAACUUGUAACUACCACAUAUAGAAUCGGCCCUGGUCCUCAAAGGCAAGCUAAAGUUCCGGCUCACAUGAAGGAAGGAUUGCCGCCGUGAAUCCCGUAGUACUGCCGUCACAGAGCAGUCAGGGUCUGGGCGUGCGACGUGGGUGAUGAAGGAUAAGAAUGUGUUGGUGACGACGCCAAACUCGCCGGAACAAGGAAUAUUACGUCCUCGGAGGCUGUUCAGAG
rnacentral:misc_RNA from 1 species